rnacentral:rRNA from 1 species
GAAUUGACGGGGCCCGGCACAAGCGGUGGAGCAUGUGGUUUAAUUCGACGCAACGCGAAGAACCUUACCAGGGCUUGACAUCCCCUGACCGCGUAUGAAAGUACGUUUUCACCCUCGGGUGACAGGGAGACAGUGGUGCAUGGUUGUCGUCAGCUCGUGUCGUGAGAUGUUGGGUUAAGUCCCGCAACGAGCGCAACCCUCGACCUUAGUUGCCAGCAUUCAGUUGGGCACUCUAAGGUGACUGCCGGCUAAAAGUCGGAGGAAGUGGGGAUGACGUCAAAUCAUCAUGCCCCUUAUGACCUGGGCUACACACGUGCUACAAUGGGCGGUACAAAGGGUCGCGAACCCGCGAGGGGGAGCCAAUCCCAAAAAGCCGCUCUCAGUUCGGAUUGCAGGCUGCAACUCGCCUGCAUGAAGCCGGAAUCGCUAGUAAUCGCGGAUCAGCAUGCCGCGGUGAAUACGUUCCCGGGCCUU